AAUAUUCUGACGUCUAAGAGAUUAGAGGUUCCCUUCGGGGACAGAAUGACAGGUGGUGCAUGGUUGUCGUCAGCUCGUGUCGUGAGAUGUUGGGUUAAGUCCCGCAACGAGCGCAACCCUUAUUACUAGUUGCCAGCAUUAAGUUGGGCACUCUAGUGAGACUGCCGGUGACAAACCGGAGGAAGGUGGGGACGACGUCAAAUCAUCAUGCCCCUUAUGACCUGGGCUACACACGUGCUACAAUGGAUGGUACAACGAGUCGCGAGACCGCGAGGUUAAGCUAAUCUCUUAAAACCAUUCUCAGUUCGGACUGUAGGCUGCAACUCGCCUACACGAAGUCGGAAUCGCUAGUAAUCGCGGAUCAGCAUGCCGCGGUGAAUACGUUCCCGGGUCUGUACACACCG
rnacentral:rRNA from 1 species